CGCAGUUAGCCCAAGCCCAAGGCCAGUUUAAGUCGGAAAGUCUCAAUCAACACAUUAUGUUCAUGUUCCUUUGACUAGCAAGUUUAGAAGAAUCCAGGACCGAAGAACAGAGGCACAGCGAUUCAGAUUUCUGGAGAUAUAUUCUUCUGUUGACAAACCACCAUUAAGCAGUAUCACUCAAAGUAAAGAAAGAAAAUAUGGAUGAUGGAGACAUUAAGCUUUCAGAUAGUUUCUUCUUGUCGAAUCCAGAGUCAUCUAGCAAUGUUCAGUCUCCGACAUCCAUAAAAUCAAUGAAUUCUUGAGGAACACCAGAACAUGCACCCAUACUCGCACUUGCAACCCUCCUGGCCCUGAUGCAGCACAUACCACACAUGUUACCACACUCCCCACACCCCCCACCCCCCACUCCCACUCAAAACGAAAACGGCCUUCGGGUAAUAGAGAAGCUGUUCGACAGUAUGGGGAGGAGAAGGAGGCACAGACAGCUUACCUGGAGGAGGAAGUUAAGACACUGCGUCUGCAGAAUCAGCAAUUAGUUGUUUUAGUUUGCCUUUAGAUGAGGUUGUAAACAUGGAUUGUUCCUAUUUUGGGUUAUUAGGCUUACUUUUAUAGCACGCCCCAUGCUAAAAGAUCUUGUUCUUUCUAUUUACUUCAGCAUGCAUGGCGGAAGAAUAUGCAAUGUGCUUCCUUGC